rnacentral:rRNA from 1 species
UACGUAGGGGGCUAGCGUUGUCCGGAAUUAUUGGGCGUAAAGAGCUUGUAGGCGGUUUGUCGCGUCUGCUGUGAAAUUUCAGGGCUCAACCCCGAACUUGCAGUGGGUACGGGCAGGCUAGAGUGUGGUAGGGGAGACUGGAAUUCCUGGUGUAGCGGUGAAAUGCGCAGAUAUCAGGAGGAACACCGAUGGCGAAGGCAGGUCUCUGGGCCACUACUGACGCUGAGAAGCGAAAGCAUGGGGAGCGAACAGG